UACAUAGGGGGCAAGCGUUAUCCGGAUUUAUUGGGCGUAAAGGGUGAGUAGGCGGUUUAAAAAGUCUUUGGUAUAAAUGCAGUGCUUAACGCUGUAGGGCUAAAGAAACUUUUAAACUAGAGUUAGAUAGAGGCAAGUGGAAUUCCAUGUGUAGCGGUAAAAUGCGUAAAUAUAUGGAGGAACACCGGUGGCGAAGGCGGCUUGCUGGGUCUAAACUGACGCUGAGGCACGAAAGCGUGGGGAGCAAACAGG
rnacentral:rRNA from 1 species